rnacentral:rRNA from 1 species
AGAGUGAACGCUGGCGGUAGGCCUAACACAUGCAAGUCGAACGGCAGCACAGUAGGAGCUUGCUCUUACGGGUGGCGAGUGGCGGACGGGUGAGGAAUACAUCGGAAUCUACCUUUUGGUGGGGGAUAACGUAGGGAAACUUACGCUAAUACCGCAUACGCCCUUCGGGGGAAAGCCGGGGACCAGCAAUGGCCUGGCGCUGAUAGAUGAGCCGAUGUCGGAUUAGCUAGUUGGUGAGGUAAUGGCUCACCAAGGCGACGAUCCGUAGCUGGUCUGAGAGGAUGAUCAGCCACACGUGGAACUGAGACACGGUCCAGACCU